CAGUCGCCACGGGAAUACGUAGGGUGCGAGCGUUAAUCGGAAUUACUGGCGUAAAGCGUGCGCAGGCGGUUGUGUAAGACAGGUGUGAAAUCCCCGGGCUUAACCUGGGAACUGCGCUUGUGACUGCACAGCUAGAGUAUGGCAGAGGGGGGUGGAAUUCCACGUGUAGCAGUGAAAUGCGUAGAGAUGUGGAGGAACACCGAUGGCGAAGGCAGCCCCCUGGGCCAAUACUGACGCUCAUGCACGAAAGCGUGGGGAGCAAACAGGAUUAGAUACCCGUGUAGUCCCUGUCUCUUAUACA
rnacentral:rRNA from 1 species